rnacentral:rRNA from 1 species
UGGGGAAUUUUGGACAAUGGGCGAAAGCCUGAUCCAGCAAUGCCGCGUGUGUGAAGAAGGCCUUCGGGUUGUAAAGCACUUUUGUCCGGAAAGAAAUCCUUGGCUCUAAUACAGUCGGGGGAUGACGGUACCGGAAGAAUAAGCACCGGCUAACUACGUGCCAGCAGCCGCGGUAAUACGUAGGGUGCAAGCGUUAAUCGGAAUUACUGGGCGUAAAGCGUGCGCAGGCGGUUUGCUAAGACCGAUGUGAAAUCCCCGGGCUCAACCUGGGAACUGCAUUGGUGACUGGCAGGCUAGAGUAUGGCAGAGGGGGGUAGAAUUCCACGUGUAGCAGUGAAAUGCGUAGAGAUGUGGAGGAAUACCGAUGGCGAAGGCGGCCCCCUGGGCCAAAUACUGACGCUCAUGCACGAAAGCGUGGGGAGCAAACAGGAUUAGAUACCCUGGUAGUCCACGCCCUAAACGAUGUCAACUAGUUGUUGGGGAUUCAUUUCCUUAGUAACGUAGCUAACGCGUGAAGUUGACCGCCUGGGGAGUACGGUCGCAAGAUUAAAACUCAAAUGAAUUGACGGGGUCAUAGCUGUUUCCU